rfam:Myotis davidii contig25584, whole genome shotgun sequence.
GGUGGUUCUCGGGUGAUGCACCCUGGAACCAGAGAGGAGGGAGCAUGAUUCCGGGGUGUGUCACCCAAGAACGGCC